UACGAGGGGGGCGAGCGUUGUUCGGAAUUAUUGGGCGUAAAGGGUGCGUAGGCGGCCUGACAAGUCUGAUGUGAAAUCCCCGGGCUCAACCCAGGGCCUGCAUCGGAAACUGUCGGGCUUGAGUAUGGGAGAGGUGAGUGGAAUUUCCGGUGUAGCGGUGAAAUGCGUAGAUAUCGGAAGGAACACCUGUGGCGAAAGCGGCUCACUGGACCAUUACUGACGCUGAGGCACGAAAGCUAGGGGAGCAAACAGG
rnacentral:rRNA from 1 species